AUACUCUAAUAGUUUAUGCAAAACAUU
rnacentral:tRNA from 10 species